UCCAUCCAGUUCAUAGAAUAAAGUCUACCUGGACUUGGCAAAACAUCUGUGGAUCAAUGGGAAAGGGGCUUUAAUUGUGACUCAUGUAGUUCAGUUCUAACUUCUCUGACAGCAAAAUGAGUGAAACAGUGAUUUAACUGGAGGUCAAUCACAUCAAAAACAGAGAACCUUUAUUGAUAUGCCUCUCUAAGUUUUAAAUAGGUUCAAGUUUUUGGCUUUAAUGGACAGGACAGUAGAGCAAUGACAGGAAAGUACUGGGCAGAGAGAGGGGAGCAGGAUCGGCAAAGGACCUCGAGACGGGAUUCGAACUCGGGUCGCUGCAAGCAUAGUUGUGCUAUAUGUUGGCCCACUAACCACAAGGCUAUCGGCGCCGACCAACAGCUACAAUUCUGACCUUGAAUGUGAUAGGACCCUUGCUGUCUAUGGAAUGUCAGAAAGCUCUCAGAUUUCACCAAAAAUAUCUUAAUUUGUGUUCUGAAGAUGAACGAAGAUCUUACAGGUUUGGAACGACAUGAGGAGGCUGAACACUUGCAAAAGGUUCUGAAUGAACUUUCACCCACAUUUACACCAGCUCUAUAACAUCAAAGAAGCCAGUUCAGACCAGCAUUCCUGCAGAUUCCAGAUAUUAACUAGAGCUGAAGCACAGCUGGGAAAGAGCGCUCUCUACUGACCAAAUAAUCAAACAAAAGAGAUACAAAUGACAACACAACAAGCAUAUGUAAGUUUGCUUUCUUUUUUAUACAAAAUAACUACUUUAUUUCAUCAUCUUUCAUCAUGACAUUAAAAUGUUCAUUUAGGUGCAUGGAUUUUCAUUUCUCCUCUAAGAAAUACAUCUAUGAAAGUCUCUUUCAUACACUUGCUAGAUGUCAUCUUUGAGGUAGCGCAAAUUUGGCAUCUACUCCUUUUCUCCACUUGCCGUUUGUGAAAGAUGGGCAAAAAUCUACAAGAGAAUAUACAUGAGAAACAGCAACAACACAAAAGACUACAAGUCAACAGACAGGGCUCUUUCAUGCUUCGUUUUUUUUCUUCUCCAUUUUCCUAUUUUCUUUAGACAGACUUUUCAGUACAGUGUCUUCAAUAAAGUGCCAACUCCAUUCCCCUCCAUAAAUACAUUAUGAAAGAUGUCACAUUAACACACUAGACAAACAACAGUGACAUACACAGACAAAGAGUAAAUAGAAAAGUAACAUCAUAGUAACUCACUCUUUUAACAAUCAGAAUCCACUUAUUUAUACCUACAUCUCCAAAAGGUACUGCAAGAGAUGAGACUGAAUUGAUCACAUUCAACAAUUCAAGUCUCGCUAUUAAUACCACACGAGAAAUGGCAACAGGCGAAUCAAACCCAACAUAGCCAUUCCUUAGCUCUCCAAAUGAACUGUGCUUGUACAAACUCACAAUGUCCUUUAGGACCAUUCAGUUCUUGUCCAUAUCUGACCCUGAGCCCAAAGUCAUCUGCAGGUGCAGGAGUCUGCAAUCAUAUCUUCAUAUUCUUUAUAAACUAUGUUUCCAUUCCUCUCCAUCAUCAGCACACUGACAGGUUUGUAUUUAUAAGGCACGCAAGAGGGCAACGGGAUAUCUGCCACACCGAGCUCGCUGAUGAACGUCUGCAUGAUCGCAUGAUUGGGUGAACUGUAGCCGUAAUGCAGAAUACGAGGACAGUCUCCCUUACAGUAACGAGGAUUGUACUUGGGGGGUGCAAUGAUCCAGUGGUCCCAUCCCAAAUCUUUAAAUGACACACGAUAGGAGUGCAGCUUGCAAUGGUUUUUGGCCACGCUGUUCGGCCCUUGCUUGUAGUUGGGGAUGUCAGAGAUGAUGCUCCCGGGUUCCCCAGAACGACGGGUCCUGGGGCGGGAAAGGGGCGUGAUGUACUUCCCCCAUUCCACAGGCUGCUUGUUCUCCUCCAGGAACAGCAGCAAAACAGGAGCUUGAAGAUGGUGUUGAGGUGGGAAAUGU